rnacentral:lncRNA from 1 species
AUAAUAAAAUAAUUCGUUCAUUAUGGUAAACAAGUGUGUUUAUGUUGGGUGUCGAACUGGAGCCGAUAGGACACUACUUUCUGGCGUAGGACUACAUCAAUUACCCAAAUCCUUAAUUCUUUGCUCAUUACAUUUUAACGAAAGAGAUUAUCUUUACACUCCUGAAGGACAGAAAACACAAAGACAUAAGCCUAAGACCUACCCUUCAAUUUCUCCUAAAAAUGAAGCAUUAAAAGAAGAGAACGAAAAAAAUUUCUAUGCGAUGUGAAAAAAUUAUUCCUGUAGUUAAGAAAAUAACUUUAAAACCAACGAUAGACAA